rnacentral:lncRNA from 1 species
AAGUCCUCCAAGAGCAUCUAACAACCCUGAGUGGUUAUGUAUGAUACGUUGGAAAAAUCAGACUAGCUCUCUGCUGCCACCUGGUGUUUAAUGUAUGACAACAGUUUGUGACAGAACUGCUGGCCCAUGUUGACUCCAAUCCUUCCCACAGUUGUGUCAAUUGGCUGGAUUCCUUUGGGGGGGGGGGGUCCAUUCUCUGAUACAAACAGGAAACUGUUGAGCGUGAAAAACUAGCGACGUUGCAGUUUUUGACACAAAACCGGUGCGCCUGGCAUCUACUACCAUUCUCUGUUCAAAGACACUUACAUCUUUUGUCUUGUCCAUUCACCCUCUGAAUGGCACACAUACACAAUCCAUGUCUCAAUUAUCUCAAGGCUUUAAAAAUCCUUCUUUACCCCGCCAUGUGGACCCUCCAUGCCCAGGGACUUGACCAGACACCCCGAUGAUGGCUGAAACUGGUCAAAGGUGUGCUUCCCAUUAUACCUGCCGUUCCACUCUGACCUAUGGGGUUCAGAGGUCACAGGGCUAGGGUCAGAUGAGGGGUCAAAGGGUCAUGUGACUCGUUGUUAAGGAUUAUGUUUAUAAUAUUAUAAUAUGAUAUUAUGUUAGCUGCAUGAUGGUCUGCAUGAUGGUCUAGCAGCACUUCUCCAAGGUCACGCAACCUUUCAACUCAGUCCCAGAGACACGCUACCCUUCAACUCAGUCCCAAAGACACGCUACCCUUCAACUCAGUCCAAAGACAAGCUACCCUCCAACUCAGUCCCAGAGACACGCUACCCUUCAACUCAGUCCCAAAGACACGCUACCCUCCAACUCCAGUCCAGAGACACGCUACCCUUCAACUCAGUCCCAAAGACACGCUACCCUUCAACUCAGUCCCAAAGACACGCUACCCUUCAACUCAGUCCCAAGGUCACGCUACUCAACCCUCCAACUCAGUCCCAAGGACUCGCUACUCAACCCCCAACUCAGUCCCAAAGACACGCUACUCAACCCUCCAACUCAGUCCCAAAGACACGCUACCUUCAACUCAGUCCCAAGUCCACGCUACUCAACCCUCCAACUUAGUCCCAAAGACACGCUACCCUUCAACUCAGUCCCAAAGACACGCUACCCUCCAACUCCAGUCCCAAAGACACGCUACCCUUCAACUCAGUCCAAAACACGCUACCCUCCAACUCAGUCCCAAAGACCACGUAACCUCCAACUCAGUCCCAGAGGACUCGCUACUCAACCUCCAACUCCAGUCCAAAGACAUGCUACCCCCCCAACCUCAGUCCCAAAGACACGCUACCCUUCAACUCAGUCCCAAGAACACGCUACCCUUCAACUCAGUCCAAAACACGCUACCCUCAACUCAAUCCCGAAACGGUUCACCUACCUUCAACUCAGUCCCAAGGACACGCUACCCUCCAGCUCAGUCCCAAGGACACGCUACCCUCCAACUCAGUCCCAAGGACACGCUACCCUCCAACUCAGUCCCAAGGAAAAGCCUAGCAACGUUGCAGUUCUUGACACAAACCGGUGCGCUGGGCAUCUACUACCAUUCUCUGCUCAAAGACACUUAAAUCUUUUGUCUUGCCCAUUCCGCCCUCUGAAUGGCACCCAGACACAAUCCAUGUCUCAAUUAUCUCAAGGCUUAAAAAUCCUUCUUCAACCAGGUCUCCUCCCCUUCAUCUACACUGAUUUGAAGUGGAUUUAA